AUUGAACGCUGGCGGCAGGCCUAAUACAUGCAAGUCGAGCGGAGCGGCGGACGGGUGAGUACUGCCUGGGAAUCUGCCUGGUAGUGGGGGAUCAAGUCCGGGAACGGGCGCCAUUGACGCAUACUUUCAGAUGAGCUUAGGGUGGAUUAGCUAGGUGGAGGGGUAAUGGCUUACCAAGGCGACGAUCCGUAGCCGGUCUGAGAGGAUGAUCAGUCACACUGGAACUGAGACACGGUCCAGACUCCUACGGGAGGCAGCAGUGGGGAAUAUUGGACAAUGGGCGAAAGCCUGAUCCAGCCAUGCCGCGUGAGUGAAGAAGGUCUUCGGAUUGUAAAGCACUUUAAGUUGGGAGGCGUUACCAACAGAGAAAGCACCGGCUAACUUCGUGCCAGCAGCCGCGGUAAUUC
rnacentral:rRNA from 1 species